rnacentral:rRNA from 1 species
CAGCAGCCGCGGUAAUACGGAGGGGGCUAGCGUUGUUCGGAAUUACUGGGCGUAAAGCGCACGUAGGCGGCUUGGUAAGUUAGAGGUGAAAGCCCGGAGCUCAACUCCGGAAUUGCCUUUAAGACUGCCGAGCUAGUAGGUGAGAGAGGUAAGUGGAAUUCCGAGUGUAGAGGUGAAAUUCGUAGAUAUUGGGAAGAACACCGGUGGCGAAGGCGGCAACCUGGCUCAUUACUGACGCUGAGGCGCGAAAGCGUGGGGAGCAAACAGGAUUAGAUACCCCAGUAGUCCCUGUCUCUUAUAC